rnacentral:rRNA from 1 species
AGAGUUUGAUCAUGGCUCAGAUUGAACGCUGGCGGCAGGCCUAACACAUGCAAGUCGAGCGGUAGCACAGAGAGCUUGCUCUCGGGUGACGAGCGGCGGACGGGUGAGUAAUGUCUGGGAAACUGCCUGAUGGAGGGGGAUAACUACUGGAAACGGUAGCUAAUACCGCAUAACGUCGCAAGACCAAAGUGGGGGACCUUCGGGCCUCAUGCCAUCAGAUGUGCCCAGAUGGGAUUAGCUAGUAGGUGGGGUAAUGGCUCACCUAGGCGACGAUCCCUAGCUGGUCUGAGAGGAUGACCAGCCACACUGGAACUGAGACACGGUCCAGACUCCUACGGGAGGCAGCAGUGGGGAAUAUUGCACAAUGGGCGCAAGCCUGAUGCAGCCAUGCCGCGUGUGUGAAGAAGGCCUUCGGGUUGUAAAGCACUUUCAGCGGGGAGGAAGGCGAUAAGGUUAAUAACCUUGGCGAUUGACGUUACCCGCAGAAGAAGCACCGGCUAACUCCGUGCCAGCAGCCGCGGUAAUACGGAGGGUGCAAGCGUUAAUCGGAAUUACUGGGCGUAAAGCGCACGCAGGCGGUCUGUCAAGUCGGAUGUGAAAUCCCCGGGCUCAACCUGGGAACUGCAUUCGAAACUGGCAGGCUAGAGUCUUGUAGAGGGGGGUAGAAUUCCAGGUGUAGCGGUGAAAUGCGUAGAGAUCUGGAGGAAUACCGGUGGCGAAGGCGGCCCCCUGGACAAAGACUGACGCUCAGGUGCGAAAGCGUGGGGAGCAAACAGGAUUAGAUACCCUGGUAGUCCACGCCGUAAACGAUGUCGAUUUGGAGGUUGUGCCCUUGAGGCGUGGCUUCCGGAGCUAACGCGUUAAAUCGACCGCCUGGGGAGUACGGCCGCAAGGUUAAAACUCAAAUGAAUUGACGGGGGCCCGCACAAGCGGUGGAGCAUGUGGUUUAAUUCGAUGCAACGCGAAGAACCUUACCUGGUCUUGACAUCCACAGAACUUUCCAGAGAUGGAUUGGUGCCUUCGGGAACUGUGAGACAGGUGCUGCAUGGCUGUCGUCAGCUCGUGUUGUGAAAUGUUGGGUUAAGUCCCGCAACGAGCGCAACCCUUAUCCUUUGUUGCCAGCGGUCCGGCCGGGAACUCAAAGGAGACUGCCAGUGAUAAACUGGAGGAAGGUGGGGAUGACGUCAAGUCAUCAUGGCCCUUACGACCAGGGCUACACACGUGCUACAAUGGCAUAUACAAAGAGAAGCGACCUCGCGAGAGCAAGCGGACCUCAUAAAGUAUGUCGUAGUCCGGAUUGGAGUCUGCAACUCGACUCCAUGAAGUCGGAAUCGCUAGUAAUCGUAGAUCAGAAUGCUACGGUGAAUACGUUCCCGGGCCUUGUACACACCGCCCGUCACACCAUGGGAGUGGGUUGCAAAAGAAGUAGGUAGCUUAACCUUCGGGAGGGCGCUUACCACUUUGUGAUUCAUGACUGGGGUGAAGUCGUAACAAGGUAACCGUAGGGGAACCUGCGGUUGGAUCACCU